CGUGCAUCAGUGGGGUCCCUUGGCCUGGCCUGUGCCCUCUUGCAAUCCGGGACCCUUGGGGGAUGUCGGAGAGCCAGUUUCAGCCCGAUCCCACAGGCCAGGCCAAGGGACCCCACUGGUACACA
rfam:Myotis lucifugus cont2.4693, whole genome shotgun sequence.